rnacentral:rRNA from 1 species
UGCAGUCGAGCGAACAGAUGAGAAGCUUGCUUCUCUGAUGUUAGCGGCGGACGGGUGAGUAACACGUGGGUAACCUACCUAUAAGACUGGGAUAACUCCGGGAAACCGGGGCUAAUACCUGAUAAUAUUUUGAACCGCAUGGUUCGAUAGUGAAAGGCGGCUUCGGCUGUCACUUAUAGAUGGACCCGCGCCGUAUUAGCUAGUUGGUAAGGUAAUGGCUUACCAAGGCGACGAUACGUAGCCGACCUGAGAGGGUGAUCGGCCACACUGGAACUGAGACACGGUCCAGACUCCUACGGGAGGCAGCAGUAGGGAAUCUUCCGCAAUGGGCGAAAGCCUGACGGAGCAACGCCGCGUGAGUGAUGAAGGUUUUCGGAUCGUAAAACUCUGUUGUUAGGGAAGAACAAAUUUGUUAGUAACUGAACAAGUCUUGACGGUACCUAACCAGAAAGCCACGGCUAACUACGUGCCAGCAGCCGCGGUAAUACGUAGGUGGCAAGCGUUAUCCGGAAUUAUUGGGCGUAAAGCGCGCGUAGGCGGUUUCUUAAGUCUGAUGUGAAAGCCCACGGCUCAACCGUGGAGGGUCAUUGGAAACUGGGGAACUUGAGUGCAGAAGAGGAGAGUGGAAUUCCAUGUGUAGCGGUGAAAUGCGCAGAGAUAUGGAGGAACACCAGUGGCGAAGGCGGCUCUCUGGUCUGUAACUGACGCUGAUGUGCGAAAGCGUGGGGAUCAAACAGGAUUAGAUACCCUGGUAGUCCACGCCGUAACGAUGAGUGCUAAGUG